rnacentral:rRNA from 1 species
GACGAACGCUGGCGGCGUGCUUAACACAUGCAAGUCGAACGGAAAGGCCUGCUUUCCCUUGUGGCUUGCGGGUACUCGAGUGGCGAACGGGUGAGUAACACGUGAGUGAUCUGCCCCCAACUUGGGUAUAAGCCUGGGAAACUGGGUCUAAUUCCCGAUAGGACUGCAGGGUGGUGCCUGUGGUGGAAAACGAUUUUCUAGUGGUUGGGGAUGAGCUCGCGGACUAUCAGCUUGUUGGUGGGGUACUGGCCUACCAAGGCGGCAACAGGUAGCCGGCCCGUGAGGGUGGACGGUCUAAGUGGGACAGGAUUGCGGAGCAGAAGUCGUAGCGAGACAGGCGUUGGUAAGAUUGCCCAGCUGGCGGAAGCCUGGAGCGCCGACGCCGCGUGGAGGAUCACGGCUCUCGGGAUGUGAACUCAUGUGGACCGAGAGGAAGCCACCUGGUUGGAAGGGUGGUGACGGUAGUGGAAGAAGAAGCACCGGCUAACUACGUG